CCUUUCUGUGGAGCCGUGUGG
rnacentral:siRNA from 1 species